UACCGAGGGUGCGAGCGUUGUUCGGAAUUACUGGGCGUAAAGCGCGCGCAGGCGGCUCUUUAAGUCUGACGGUGAAAUGCCGGGGCUCAACCCCGUGCCCGCCGCGGAUACUGGAGGGCUGGAGACACGUAGAGGCAAGCGGAAUUCCGGGUGUAGCGGUGGAAUGCGUAGAGAUCCGGAAGAACACCGGAGGCGAAGGCGGCUUGCUGGGCGUAGUCUGACGCUGAGGCGCGAAAGCGUGGGGAGCGAACAGG
rnacentral:rRNA from 1 species